GACGAACGCUGGCGGCGUGCUUAACACAUGCAAGUCGAGCGGUAAGGCCCUUUCGGGGGUACACGAGCGGCGAACGGGUGAGUAACACGUGGGUGACCUGCCCUCAGCUCUGGGAUAAGCCUGGGAAACCGGGUCUAAUACUGGAUAUGACUCCAUGACGCAUGUUGUGGGGUGGAAAGCCUUGUGCGGCUGAGGAUGGGCCCGCGGCCUAUCAGCUUGUUGGUGGGGUGAGGCCUACCAAGGCGACGACGGGUAGCUGGCCUGAGAGGGCGACCGGCCACACUGGGACUGAGACACGGCCCAGACUCCUACGGGAGGCAGCAGUGGGGAAUCUUGCGCAAUGGGCGAAAGCCUGACGCAGCGACGCCGCGUGAGGGAUGACGGCCU
rnacentral:rRNA from 1 species